rnacentral:rRNA from 1 species
GACAGAGGUGCCGAGCGUUAGGCGGAAUCACUGGGCGUAAAGAGCGUGUAGGCGGCCAUACAGGUCAGCUGUGAAAACUCGAGGCUCAACCUCGAGACGUCGGUUGAAACCGUAUGGCUAGAGUCCGGAAGAGGAGAGUGGAAUUCCCGGUGUAGCGGUGAAAUGCGCAGAUAUCGGGAAGAACACCCGUGGCGAAGGCGGCUCUCUGGGACGGUACUGACGCUGAGACGCGAAAGCGUGGGGAGCGAACAGG